rnacentral:rRNA from 1 species
UGCUGGAGGUAUCAGAAGUGCGAAUGCUGACAUAAGUAACGAUAAUGCGGGUGAAAAACCCGCACGCCGGAAGACCAAGGGUUCCUGUCCAACGUUAAUCGGGGCAGGGUGAGUCGACCCCUAAGGCGAGGCCGAAAGGCGUAGUCGAUGGGAAACAGGUUAAUAUUCCUGUACUUGGUGUUACUGCGAAGGGGGGACGGAGAAGGCUAUGUUAGCCGGGCGACGGUUGUCCCGGUUUAAGCAUGUAGGCGGAGGUUCCAGGUAAAUCCGGUACCUUUUUAACGCUGAGGUGUGAUGACGAGGCACUACGGUGCUGAAGUAACAAAUGCCCUGCUUCCAGGAAAAGCCUCUAAGCAUCAGGUAACACGAAAUCGUACCCCAAACCGACACAGGUGGUCAGGUAGAGAAUACCAAGGCGCUUGAGAGAACUCGGGUGAAGGAACUAGGCAAAAUGGUGCCGUAACUUCGGGAGAAGGCACGCUGAUAUGUAGGUGAAGUGGUUUACCCAUGGAGCUGAAAUCAGUCGAAGAUACCAGCUGGCUGCAACUGUUUAUUAAAAACACAGCACUGUGCAAACACGAAAGUGGACGUAUACGGUGUGACGCCUGCCCGGUGCCGGAAGGUUAAUUGAUGGGGUUAUCCGUAAGGAGAAGCUCUUGAUCGAAGCCCCGGUAAACGGCGGCCGUAACUAUAACGGUCCUAAGGUAGCGAAAUUCCUUGUCGGGUAAGUUCCGACCUGCACGAAUGGCGUAAUGAUGGCCAGGCUGUCUCCACCCGAGACUCAGUGAAAUUGAACUCGCUGUGAAGAUGCAGUGUACCCGCGGCAAGACGGAAAGACCCCGUGAACCUUUACUAUAGCUUGACACUGAACACUGGUCCUUGAUGUGUAGGAUAGGUGGGAGGCUUUGAAGUGUGGACGCCAGUCUGCAUGGAGCCAUCCUUGAAAUACCACCCUUUAAUGGCUGGUGUUCUAACGUGGACCCGUUACCCGGGUUGCGGACAGUGUCUGGUGGGUAGUUUGACUGGGGCGGUCUCCUCCUAAAGAGUAACGGAGGAGCACGAAGGUUAGCUAAUCCUGGUCGGACAUCAGGAGGUUAGUGCAAAGGCAUAAGCUAGCUUGACUGCGAGAGUGACGGCUCGAGCAGGUGCGAAAGCAGGUCUUAGUGAUCCGGUGGUUCUGAAUGGAAGGGCCAUCGCUCAACGGAUAAAAGGUACUCCGGGGAUAACAGGCUGAUACCGCCCAAGAGUUCAUAUCGACGGCGGUGUUUGGCACCUCGAUGUCGGCUCAUCACAUCCUGGGGCUGAAGUAGGUCCCAAGGGUAUGGCUGUUCGCCAUUUAAAGUGGUACGCGAGCUGGGUUUAGAACGUCGUGAGACAGUUCGGUCCCUAUCUGCCGUGGGCGCUGGAGAAUUGAGGGGGGCUGCUCCUAGUACGAGAGGACCGGAGUGGACGCAUCACUGGUGUUCGGGUUGUCAUGCCAAUGGCAUUGCCCGGUAGCUAAAUGCGGAAGAGAUAAGUGCUGAAAGCAUCUAAGCACGAAACUUGCCCCGAGAUGAGUUCUCCCUGAGACUAUAAGUCUCCUGAAGGAACGUUAAAGACGAUGACGUUGAUAGGUCGGGUGUGUAAGUGUAGCGAUACAUUGAGCUAACCGAUACUAAUGAACCGUGAGGCUUAACCUU